rnacentral:rRNA from 1 species
UUGACCUCGGAUCAGGUAGGGAUACCCGCUGAACUUAAGCAUAUCAAUAAGCGGAGGAAAAGAAACCAACAGGGAUUGCCUCAGUAACGGCGAGUGAAGCGGCAACAGCUCAAAUUUGAAAUCUGGCUCUUUCAGGGUCCGAGUUGUAAUUUGUAGAAGAUGCUUUGGGUGUAGCUCCGGUCUAAGUUCCUUGGAACAGGACGUCAUAGAGGGUGAGAAUCCCGUAUGUGACUGGGUGCUUUCGCUCGUGUAAAGCUCUUUCGACGAGUCGAGUUGUUUGGGAAUGCAGCUCAAAAUGGGUGGUAAAUUUCAUCUAAAGCUAAAUAUUGGCCAGAGACCGAUAGCGCACAAGUAGAGUGAUCGAAAGAUGAAAAGCACUUUGGAAAGAGAGUUAAACAGUACGUGAAAUUGUUGAAAGGGAAGCGCUUGCAACCAGACUUGCGCGCUGUUGAUCAUCCGAGCUUCUGCCCGGUGCACUCGACAGCGUUCAGGCCAGCAUCGGUUUUGGUGGGCGGAUAAAGGCCUUGGGAAUGUAGCUUCUUUCGGGGAGUGUUAUAGCCCUACGGUGCCAAUGCGCCCUACCGGGACCGAGGACCGCGCU